rnacentral:rRNA from 1 species
UACGGAGGGGGCUAGCGUUGUUCGGAAUUACUGGGCGUAAAGCGCGCGUAGGCGGCUUUGUAAGUUAGAGGUGAAAGCCCGGGGCUCAACCCCGGAACUGCCUUUAAGACUGCAUCGCUUGAAUCCAGGAGAGGUGAGUGGAAUUCCCGGUGUAGUGGUGGAAUGCGUAGAUAUCGGGAGGAACACCAGUGGCGAAGGCGGUUGCCUGGAGCUUUGCUGACGCUGAUGCGCGAAAGCGUGGGGAGCGAUCCGG